UGGGGAAUCUUCCGCAAUGGACGAAAGUCUGACGGAGCAACGCCGCGUGAGUGAUGACGGCCUUCGGGUUGUAAAGCUCUGUUAAUCGGGACGAAAGGCCUUCUUGCGAAUAGUUAGAAGGAUUGACGGUACCGGAAUAGAAAGCCACGGCUAACUACGUGCCAGCAGCCGCGGUAAUACGUAGGUGGCAAGCGUUGUCCGGAAUUAUUGGGCGUAAAGCGCGCGCAGGCGGAUCAGUCAGUCUGUCUUAAAAGUUCGGGGCUUAACCCCGUGAUGGGAUGGAAACUGCUGAUCUAGAGUAUCGGAGAGGAAAGUGGAAUUCCUAGUGUAGCGGUGAAAUGCGUAGAUAUUAGGAAGAACACCAGUGGCGAAGGCGACUUUCUGGACGAAAACUGACGCUGAGGCGCGAAAGCCAGGGGAGCGAACGGGAUUAGAUACCCCGGUAGUCCUGGCCGUAAACGAUGGGUACUAGGUGUAGGAGGUAUCGACCCCUUCUGUGCCGGAGUUAACGCAAUAAGUACCCCGCCUGGGGAGUACGACCGCAAGGUUUG
rnacentral:rRNA from 1 species